rnacentral:rRNA from 1 species
AACAAACGCUGGCGGCGUGCCUAAUACAUGCAAGUCGAACGGGGAAAGUAGCAAUACGAGUACUAGUGGCGCACGGGUGAGGAAUACAUGGGUAAUCUGCCCUCGAGUUUGGGAUAACCAGUCGAAAGAUUGGCUAAUACCGGAUAUGACCACAGGAUCUGCGGAUCUAGGGGUAAAAGGUUUUUCGCUCGAGGAUGAGCCCAUGUGGGAUUAGCUAGUUGGUGAGGUAACGGCUCACCAAGGCGACGAUCCCUAACUGGUCUUAGAGGAUGAUCAGUCACACUGGAACUGAGACACGGUCCAGACUCCUACGGGAGGCAGCAGUAGGGAAUAUUGCACAAUGGAGGAAACUCUGAUGCAGCGACGCCGCGUGAGUGAUGAAGGCCUUCGGGUCGUAAAGCUCUGUCGUAUGGGACUAACACAAUGAAGGUACCAUGCAAGAAAGGAUCGGCUAACUUCGUGCCAGCCGCCGCGGUAA